rnacentral:rRNA from 1 species
CUCGUAGGUGGCCAACUAAGUCAGACGUGAAAUCCCUCGGCUUAACCGGGGAACUGCGUCUGAUACUGGAUGGCUUGAGUUUGGGAGAGGGACGCGGAAUUCCAGGUGUAGCGGUGAAAUGCGUAGAUACUGGGAGGAACACCGGUGGCGAAGGCGGCUACCUGGACAGGUACUGACGCUGAUGCGCGAAAGCCAGGGGAGCAAACA